rnacentral:rRNA from 1 species
UACAUGGGGUGCAAACGUUGCUCGGAAUUAUUGGGCGUAAAGCGCGCGUAGGCGGUUGCUUAAGUCGGAUGUGAAAGCCCUCGGCUUAACCGGGGAAGUGCACCCGAAACUGAGCAGCUUGAGUACGAAAGAGGGUCGCGGAAUUCCGGGUGUAGCGGUGGAAUGCGUAGAGAUCCGGAAGAACACCGGUGGCGAAGGCGGCCUGCUGGGCAGUGGCUGACGCUGAGGCGCGACAGCGUGGGGAGCAAACAGG